rnacentral:rRNA from 1 species
GUGCCAGCAGCCGCGGUAAUACGUAGGACGCAAACGUUGUCCGGAUUUACUGGGUGUAAAGGGUGCUCAGGCGGUCUUGUAAGUCAAUGGUGAAAUCUCCCGACUCAAUCGGGAAACGGCCUUUGAUACUGUGAGGCUUGAGUGCAGAAGAGGCGGAUGGAAUUUCUGGUGUAGCAGUGAAAUGCGUAGAUAUCAGAAAGAACACCAGUGGCGAAGGCGGUCCGCUGGUCUGUCACUGACGCUAAAGCACGAAAGCGUGGGGAGCAAACAGGAUUAGAAACCCCGGUAGUCC